UGGGGAAUAUUGNNNNNAGAANAGGAACCCUGACGCAGCCAUGCCGCGUGAAUGACCUANGGCCUUAGGGUUGUAAAGUUCUUUCGGUAUUGAGGAAGGUUGAUGUGUUAAUAGCACAUCAAAUUGACGUUAAAUACAGAAGAAGCACCGGCUAACUCCGUGCCAGCAGCCGCGGUAAUACGGAGGGUGCGAGCGUUAAUCGGAAUAACUGGGCGUAAAGGGCACGCAGGCGGUUAUUUAAGUGAGGUGUGAAAGCCCCGGGCUUAACCUGGGAAUUGCAUUUCAGACUGGGUAACUAGAGUACUUUAGGGAGGGGUAGAAUUCCACGUGUAGCGGUGAAAUGCGUAGAGAUGUGGAGGAAUACCGAAGGCGAAGGCAGCCCCUUGGGAAUGUACUGACGCUCAUGUGCGAAAGCGUGGGGAGCAAACAGGAUUAGAUACCCUGGUAGUCCACGCUGUAAACGCUGUUCGAUUUGGGGGUUGGGGUUUAACUCUGGCGCCCGUAGCUAAACGUGAUAAAUCGACCGCCUGGGGAGUACGGCCGCAAGGUUAAA
rnacentral:rRNA from 1 species